UGGGGAAUAUUGCACAAUGGGCGAAAGCCUGAUGCAGCAACGCCGCGUGAGCGAUGAAGGCCUUCGGGUCGUAAAGCUCUGUCCUCAAGGAAGAUAAUAACGGUACUUGAGGAGGAAGCCCCGGCUAACUACGUGCCAGCAGCCGCGGUAAUACGUAGGGGGCGAGCGUUGUCCGGAAUGAUUGGGCGUAAAGGGCGCGUAGGCGGCCUGGUAAGUCUGGAGUGAAAGUCCUGCUUUCAAGGUGGGAAUUGCUUUGGAUACUGCUAGGCUCGAGUGCAGGAGAGGAAAGCGGAAUUACCGGUGUAGCGGUGAAAUGCGUAGAGAUCGGUAGGAACACCAGUGGCGAAGGCGGCUUUCUGGACUGAAACUGACGCUGAGGCGCGAAAGCGUGGGGAGCAAACAGG
rnacentral:rRNA from 1 species